UACGUAGGGGGCAAGCGUUGUCCGGAUUUAUUGGGCGUAAAGAGCGUGUAGGCGGCUUGGUAGGUCCGCUGUGAAAACUCGAGGCUCAACCUCGAGAUGUCGACGGAAACCACUUGGCUAGAGUCCGGAAGAGGAGAGUGGAAUUCCUGGUGUAGCGGUGAAAUGCGCAGAUAUCAGGAAGAACACCUAUGGCGAAGGCAGCUCUCUGGGACGGUACUGACGCUGAGACGCGAAAGCGUGGGGAGCGAACAGG
rnacentral:rRNA from 1 species